AGAGGAAAGAAGAGGAAAGGAAAGUAUGGAAAGUAGGAUGAAGAAGAAAUCCUAAAAUUGAGUCUUCCACUAGCCAAACCUAGAGAGGAAGAAAUGAGAAGCCUUUCACUGUUUCCGCUACUAAAGCUGCUGGUGAUCCAUAGAGUCAAAGGGACAAGGAUUAAUGCUUGGGAUGCCACAACUCCAACAGUUUAACAGUACUAUGAGAAGUCUGAAGACUUCUGCAGACUUAAACCAUACAAUGAAAGACAGGAAUCUGCAGUACGCUUUGACUAUCUAAGUGUCACAGACAGAACGCUACUGCCAUCUUAAGGGGAAGAAGCAAAAAUAGUUAUCUAUUCCAAGUUGAUUCGAAAAGUGGAUAUAUCGUAAAAUGGACCAAUUCACCUUCCAUCCACCUCACCCACCAAAUACCACUUCACUCCUUAUGUCACCAAGGGAUCUGUGCUGAAAUUGCUACGUCGAGGAAAACAUUUAGUGCAUUUGGUGUUCCUGGACUGCCUGGAUAAUCCUCAAAAUGACAAAUCGCUAUCUCCGUGAUUAAUUUUCUCUCUUGUCAAGGCUGGGAAGAUGAGAGAUUUGGGGGACAUCGUGCAAGAUGUCAAGGAAAUGCCAGCUGUCUCUAUUACAUCUCUGCGUUAACAACAGUGCAAGAUUAAUGAUUCGUGUGCAGCGCUUGUUUUUGUAACUUUCACAAAUCUGAAUUCCUCGGCAGAUAAAGUAAUAGGAUCUGUCAG